rnacentral:rRNA from 1 species
GGCUAACCUGCCCUUGGGACAGAGACAACCCCGGGAAACUGGGGCUAAUCCCUGAUAAGUGAAGAACCCUGGAAUGGGUCUCCGCCAAAAAGACGCCUAAGUCACGCUCUUAAGCGCCGCCCAAGGAUGGGGCCGCGUCCGAUCAGGUUGUUGGUGAGGUAACGGCCCACCAAGCCUUUAACCGGUGCGGGCCGUGGGAGCGGGAGCCCGGAGAUGGGCACUGAGACAAGGGCCCAGGCCCUACGGGGCGCAGCAGUCGCGAAAACUUUGCAAUACACGAAAGUGUGACAGGGUCAUCCCGAGUGCCGUCCGCUGAGGAUGGCUUUUACCCAGUAUAGAAAGCUGGGAGAAUAAGGAGAGGGCAAGCCUGGUGUCAGCCGCCGCGGUAAUACCAGCUCUCCGAGCGGUGUGGAUGUUUAUUGGGCCUAAAGCAUCCGUAGCUGGCUGGGCAAGUCCCCUGUUAAAUCCACCGAUUUAAUCGUUGGAGUGCGGGGGAUACUGUUCGGCUAGGGGACGGGAGAGGCCGACGGUAUUUUCGGGGUAGGGGUGAAAUCCUAUAAUCCCGGGAGGACCACCAGUGGCGAAGGCUGUCGGCUAGAACGCGCCCGACGGUGAGGGAUGAAAGCUGGGGGAGCGAACCGGAUUAGAUACCCGGGUAGUCCCAGCUGUAAACGAUGCAGGCUAGGUGUUUGGGCGGCCACGUGCCGCUCUAGUGCCGCAGGGAAGCUGUUAAGCCUGCCGCCUGGGGAGUACGGCCGCAAGGC